GAUGAACGCUGGCGGCGUGCCUAAUACAUGCAAGUCGAGCGAACGGACGAGAAGCUUGCUUCUCUGAUGUUAGCGGCGGACGGGUGAGUAACACGUGGAUAACCUACCUAUAAGACUGGGAUAACUUCGGGAAACCGGAGCUAAUACCGGAUGAUAUUUUGAACCGCAUGGUUCAAAAGUGAAAGACGGUCUUGCUGUCACUUAUAGAUGGAUCCGCGCUGCAUUAGCUAGUUGGUAAGGUAACGGCUUACCAAGGCAACGAUGCAUAGCCGACCUGAGAGGGUGAUCGGCCACACUGGAACUGAGACACGGUCCAGACUCCUACGGGAGGCGGCAGUAGGGAAUCUUCCGCAAUGGGCGAAAGCCUGACGGAGCAACGCCGCGUGAGUGAUGAAGGUCUUCGGAUCGUAAAACUCUGUUAUUAGGGAAGAACAUAUGCGUAAGUAACUGUGCACAUCUUGACGGUACCUAAUCAGAAAGCCACGGCUAACUACGUG
rnacentral:rRNA from 1 species